GGAGAAUGAAGAUAUAUCCCCACGAUCUCUGGCAAGUUCGGCAAAGCUGACAAACAGGAUGACAAGAGAGCCGGCCCUUAUUUCAGCAGAGAGUUUAUUCAUUUCAGGGAGAAUGAAUUUUGCUUGAGCGCGAUUUAUCCCAUCAACUCCACUGAAUGAGGUAGACAUGCAUGCCCGCUUAAACUGAUAGACAGCAGAAUGUCCCUCAGCAGCUGCAGCACUUGAUAGUGGCUUUGCCAAAAUUACACCCAAAGGAAACAAAUUCUGGACCUGUGAUUCAUCGCUGACAGUUGCUGGCACAGAUAUUGUCAUUUGAAUCCUUCUUUUGUGCUUUGCUUGAAUUUUGUACUGUAAGCAUCUUUGAAGGAAUGAAGGAUUUCUAACAGCACGGCGUUGGAGAAUAUUGUAGAGUUCAACAGGUUUGCAAUAACUUGAAAGGCUUUCUUCAGCAGCAAUCUCCUCCUCUGCAGACAAAUGUGUAGCAGAAUCUUGCCUGCACAUUGAAUCCGUGGCUGUAGAGUAACUGCAGUAGCAAGUGUAAUUCGUGGUUUCACGAGCCACUAAAGGUAUGCCUGGCAUCCUUGUCACAAAGUAUUCAAAUGUAUAUUCAUAGUUCUUUCAACUUCAAACUGGAUUUCGCCGAAGAUGAUGGAGGAAGGUGCUCUCUCUGUCGAUUCGCCGGAAGAAGAAGAAGACCGGUGCCGUUUGAGAUUGGCGGGCCUGAAUCAGUCGGAUUUUAGGAUCCGUUCUUGGUUUCGGUUCGAACUUUGACCCUGCCCCAAAACGCCUCUGGUUGAG
rnacentral:misc_RNA from 1 species